rnacentral:rRNA from 1 species
AUGCUGGAGCGCUUUGUGUUCCGCAGGGACGACGACGAUGACGGCGGCGACUCCUCCGCCUUCCCGGACGAAGCGGCCGCGCCCUUGAGGGCCAACUCCGUCACCUCCCUCGGAGACCCCUUCGCCGUCGCAUUGCUCCCCGCCGCCCCUCCGGCCUUCUCCCGCAUCUACGUGCAGUGGCCGUGCGGUCCACGCACCUACGACGGGUCCGACAUGGGGUCCGAACUCCUGUCCGCCCACCGGGACCUCCUCCUGCUCAGCCUCACCUCCGAGCUGGGCCUCGACGACAGUGACCCUUACCGGCAGGCUACUUCGUCUUCCAUACCGCCCAAGGGGCUGGUGAAUCCCGGCUCAAGCGGCUCCCGGCGUGCACCGUACCCAUUGUGCGGAAACUGUGGGGCGAGGACACAACAAUGGAUCGCUGGUUCAACCGGGACACCAUCGGAAUAUAUUGCGGCAGGGAUGACUCCACCGUGCUGCAGCUGGCCAAGUUCUGUGUUUCAGCAAAGAACAGUGCUAUUGGAGCAGAACUGUGCGUCUUCCGCUCCCCUCUGUCGACCGAUGGCUCUGAUGAUAAUGAUGCCGAGGGCAAGUGGGAGAUUCUGA